AAUGAGUCAGAAAUAGAAGUAGCAGUGACACCCACCUAACAAAAGUAUGCGUACGAAUGAGACUCUCUGCGCUUCUGAAGACAACUUGAGACCCUUUGAUAGCAAAGUGAAAUGCACGGUUGCAGCAAAUUAAUAAGACUGAGAAACCUUUUGAAAGUAAAUCCUAACUCAAUGGACCUUACCAUGCCUGGCAGUUGUCUGGUGCAGUCAGCUGUGAACCAGAGAGGAUAUAUACUUGUUGCUAUCAGUGAGUGCCCAAAGUGCUUAAUGCUGCAGAGUUUAAGUGACUUGGACACCUGAGACAGCAGCCAUACGAUGGGAAGGAGAGGAGAAGUUGAGCUGGACCACCAGGGCAAGGUGCUGCUGGCUUAUUGCAAUAAUGGGAUUCCCAGGGCUGAGCCAACGCUUUGACUACAAGAAAGUGUAGGAUAUGAGGGAUGAUGAUGCAUGGAAAGAGGGAAAACAUUCCCGAGUCAUCCUGUUUCCUGAGCAUAAGGAGGCACAAGAUAGUAAACGUUGGAUUUUCAUCCUACCUUUACGUUCUGUGACAGGGCAUCAUUGCAAGCUGUCCUUACAAAGCUGAGAGCAGGGAGAUCAUCUGAACCACGAGGUCUGUGGUGUAUUCACAACAGAACAGGCAGCAUAAAAAAGGGUGUGGUGUUUGAUCAGCAGUUUCCUGCAUAUGGAAAUCUUAGGUCACCUUGCUGUUCCUUGAUGUCUGAAGUCUGCUACCAGGUUCCUGCAAGGAAGUAUAAAUUAGUAUUCAGUGUCUUGUAGUAUUCUUUUAUUAAUAUUACUGUUUCUCAACUUUAAGGACAAAAACAGCAGAACAGUGUUGCGAUGACAAGAAGCUGAGUGCUGAGCCCAUGCAGGGCACUGGGGAGGGUCACUGGGAGUGAGUCAGGUUGGUGUCUGCUGAGAUGGUUUUGUUUGCAGUGUUUUCACACAUAUGUAUUCAAUAAGGCUUUUGUUUUACUGAAAAGAAGAGACACUAUACAGCAUUAUCCCUAUUUUGAAGUGACAGUGCCAAGGGGACUUCAGUAAAGGGUUUGAUGGCAAUUGAAUCUGAAAAGUAAAGCUUUGUAAUUGCUUAGUUAGUUUUGAAGUAAUGCUUAUAUUUAAGAUUUAUGUACAAAAACAGGCUCUAUCAAUAGUAGUGAAGUGGUUUCGGGCCAAGUCUUUUUUAAAGCAACUUAUGAACAGAAGGUCAUUUCUGAGUUCUUUCUUCUCCUGCAAAGGCACAAAUCCCACCUCGCUGUGUUUGUAUAAUGUACAACACAUUAUUAUGCCGCAUUCAGUAACUGCUUGUACUUCCACAGGAAUGUCUGAGUUUCAUUCUUGAUUAUAGUAAACUUCCCAAUGCAAGGAAAAGCAAAUAUUAUCCUCAGAGUUUCAGUGACCUGUUAGUAAGAUGUAAGCUGUGACGAGACUUCUGAAGGCUCAUCUUACAGUCUCAAAAUCCCACCUUAAAAAUACAUAACUUGGAGACUGUUGAGUCCUCUGAUGAUGCUACAGUAUUGAAUCAUCUUUAUAUAAUUACGCUGGCGAAUAUAAAGUAUCAUUGUUUUCAGCAUCUUUCAUGAAAGCUGUUUUGACCUUCAGAUUAAAGGAUCCAUAUGGAUUGCCAAAUGAAAAAGUUGGAGCUCCUGUAUUAAACUUGAGCUCCAGCUCGGCAUGAAGACAUCAGAUGUGCUUCCACUUGAAAAAAUGUUGUUGUACCAGCAUAUAUCCCGUCUGAAUUUUUCUCCUGGGUGAAGUCUUAUAAAUGAGUGCAUCGUGUAUAAUGAGGAUUGGAGGUUAGCUGCUUCCAAUGAAUUCCUUUUCAAAGUGUAAAAAGGAUGCAGAGCAGCAAGGAGGAGAAAUCCAUUGGUAUUUGAGUUCUGUAGGAUGAAGAGGUUUGCUGCUGGGGGAAGAUCAAGAGGAGGCAGUAGGAAUAUUUUGGGCACUUCUGAAGGAGAGAUGGAGACCAUCUGGUAGAGAGGAUGCUUAAAGGAAAAGUGCCAGGACAGAGAUAAAAGUAAAGGGAAAGGAAAUAGUGACUGAGUAACAUCAAAGAGUGAGGCUGACUAUAGAGCAGAAAGGAAGACAUAGCAGUGACCCAACAUAGGCAAAUCAUAAUACAAAUGGUGGCACCGGGCGAUGGAUCCAUAUGAAUCGGUGAAGGCUCGGGGGAAAAGCUCAGCAUUUUAAUUUCAGGAAAGCCUACAGGAAAGUGGUGUUGACAUCUUUGGAAGGCUUAUAAUUUAAAACUGAUGCAGUAAGCAGGGAUCCCGCUGCUUCAGAAAUACUGUCCUGGAGUCUAAUCCAGAUACUGUAACUGCAGUAGAAUUUAAAAUGGAGAGAAGCCAAGAAGAAUGUUUCUUCCCUCAUCGGCAUCAGCAUCUUUUCAUUUGAAUGACUUUUAGGGCAUUGGAUGUUUCCGUUGAACUGCUUCCUAAGGCUUGUGUCCUGAAGCAGUGGUUGGUGUGUGGUCCUUCCCCGUGUUGAGCUGGAGCCGAUCUCAUGUAAAGAGAGGAAGAUGCUGGGUUUGCUUUUCUCCUGCUGAAGGAGAAUAACUUUUGGCCAGUCCCUUUUUCCUGACAAAGUCUGAAAAACGUUUCUGUUAUUGGAAUUCCACUGAGAAGUGGAGCAGUGAUCAGCCCCAUGGCUUCUGUGGGUAGAACAGCACAGGCUAACAGAGUCUGAUAAUCUCUUGUGCCUUGUUUUACACCCAACCGAAAAGGCAGUGAGUCAGGACAGGUGAUGGUCCUAAUUAUAAAGACUGGCUGUGCUCCUGCUUCUCUUACCCCUUCCCAUCUGUAUUUAGGAGGACUUUCUGCAUCCUAGGGGAACCGUGCUUUAGUAGGAUUUGAGAUCAAGGCCUGAAAUAAUCUCAUGGUUUUCUUUCUGCCUGUCUUUCUUUCCUUCUUUUCUUAACAAAACAGGUGUGUUACUUUUUUUACUGAAGUCGGUCCAAGGAAAGAAAAGGAAGAAAGUACUUCCAGAGGGUAAUUAGUCCCAUCUUAAAACAAGUGUGUAAGACAGGUAGGAUAAGUCUCUCUCUCUCUCUGAAAGUGCCAAUCUGUCACCACUAUCUAUAGAAGGAGCCUUCACGAGUAGCUUAGAGUAGGUGUUUGACUUUUACACAGUUAAAUUUAGAGGAGAUGAUUGCCACUUUUUAAGUCAGUCAAAAGUGCUUGUUUAUAAUUGAUUAACCAUUAUAGACUGAAAAGUUGCGAGGGAGAACAAAAGUAAGAGCAUAAUGCCAUUGAUAGAGAUAUCGUGUAAUAAGGAAUAGCAGCAACAGCAAUUGCAGAUGGUUAACAUUUUCAUUCCCCGUUGUUUUUAUUUUACUGUUAAAUCUUCCCAGAUUUUAGGUCUUGUUUGAUCCUGAAGAAGGAAAAAAAUUGCCCCUGCUUUAGUGUAAGCAAAAACUGCUGAAGUAUUUGUAGGAUUAAGAAGUGAUUUGUCCUGGAAAUGUCAAUUCUUAUAUGUAGGGUCAUUAAUCCAUAAAAUGAAUUUGCAAACAUUUCUGAGUUCCCUUUCGUGUUGUUGGUGUUUUACUUGACAUGCUUCUGACUGCCCUCUCAAUGAAGGCUGCACUCAGAAGAUCCUGCAAGGCGAGCACUGACAGUGUGUGAGACUUGGUUUUGCACGUGCCUUGACCUGGCAUAUACAGUCUGUUACCAUGAAGUAAACGCUCUUGUCAUUUAAGAGUAUUAAUCAUAUUUCAGGCUGUUGCCCAAGAAUUUCAUUGUGUACAGGGCUUUCACCAGCCAGAACCAUGCUGCAAAAGUAAAUAGAUACAAUCACUUUCUCCAGUAAAAAUAAUUCUUGACUACAGCCUCCCUUGCAGCAUAGAUAAUGCCGUGUAGAAAUGGCAGAUGCUCUGAAGGUUUUUGAGUAUUGUGACAAUAAGAAUUUUAAACAAAGUUGGAAGAAGCAUAUGGUAUAUAUGGACGGGAAAUCCUGUGGUAGUUUUGAUUUUAUGCAAGGAAAAGAAGGAGUUCCUUAGGUCCAUAAAUCUGUUUGUUUGCAGUACUCAAACAGAGAUUUUCAUGGUCUUAGCUUUCCUCUUUCUUCAAAACGCUGCUUUCAAGUACAGAUGGGCCUAUACCACAAGGUUGGGAUCCAGAUUGGGGCUUGGAACUGGCAUUCAUCAGAGUUUAAGCAUAUUUGAACAUAGCAUUUGAAGUCAGCCUCUUGUGGAGUUAAAUGCCUACUAAUUGAGUAGAUCUCUCCUAUAUGUUGAGGUGUAGAAAAUACAAAGAUUUCAUUUAACUUGAUCUCUGAGGCAUUUAAAUUUAAAAUGGAAGACUUCUAAUGAAGCAGGAGGCUGUAUUUGUGGUUAUUAUUGUGUCUGAAGGGUGAAAUGACAUAUGACAGUUAAUUAUGGUGGAUAUUAUAAUAAGAGACGUGCUUAAAGUGGUUUCAAAUCUAAAUACAUUUGAAGUCAAUAAGAGUACCUAUGGCAAAGUGUUUCAAUCCUGAUUUAUAAUCUAGCACUUUUACCCCGGUAUGGUUAUUUAUGUACAAAUUGACCUGUUCCUAGAAUAGAAUAUGAUAUGUUAGUAAAACCGUACACCUAGGUGUGGAAAGACAAUUAGCCUAUAAACACACUGACUUCCUCUUUAGGCUGAGAACACCUCAUAUUUCCAAGACUAAUGGUUUCUAAUCUGUUUUUAAAUGUUCCAUUUGGAUAGUGAAGGCGUAACUAUCAAAACACUGUAAAAUCAUAAUGCCUGUGCAGCUAUAAAUUACUGUUUUCAAAAUGAGCUGGAGGUCUCCAACUUAUUCCCAAGUGCAGAAAAGUUAGAUAACAUAAAACUGCUCAAAAAUGACUAGAAGCAACAUUUCUGGCUUUUUCCAAAUGCUGGGGAAUCGUGGAUCUGCCUAGUAACUCCCUAGCAAUGCCCGUGUGGAUAGCAAUGAAGCUAGUCCCAUAAAGAAUACUUGAAUAGAUCAAAAGCAUUUCAGAUCAGAGAUCAACAGAAAGAACUAUGUUGCUUUUUGUUUGUUUAUUUAUUUAUGUGCUGGAAAUUUCUCUGAUAUGAAAAAUAUCUCACUUAUUUUUCAUUCAUCAAAUUGUGGACUGCUUCAUAUGAGAUGCUGACUGCACGAUGGUGAAGUGCUGCUUCCAUGGAAGACGAUGCUUAAAACAAUAAGAAAAAGCAUCAACCCUCUCAUGCCAUGGUUUGAACUUUGGAGUGUGCACAAGGAUGGAAGAAGUACAAGGAGUGGUGGGACGUAAUGCAAAGUGAGUCUGAGCUGCCCUUUACUUCAGCCUUCACACCGUGAAGAUGCAGUUUAUUCCACCAGGAGUGCUGAUAUUGCAGACACCUAUUUAAACACAGCAGUGCUGGAGGAGGGAGAAAACAGAAGCUUUGGGAUUCUUCUUUUUAACCUCCAAAGUGUUAUGGGUGUGAAAGCUGUGGACAAAAUCUUCCCCACUGGAUGCUGUCUACAGAGCGGGUUUCCCCAGUUGAGAGUUGAACCUCCUACCAGUUGUGUGACCUUCGGACUAUGGGUAUUGAUGAAGGCACACAGCUAUAAUCUCAGAUUAUGAUGUACCUGCACCUUCACUUCUGCCAGUAUUACUUGCUGUGCUCAGCCAGCUGCAGAGCGACUCUGCUGGAGGAAAGAUCACAUCCAAGGACCUCCAUCCAAUGUCAGAGAUAUGCUGUGCAACCUCAGCUUGCCUCUUCUAUGAGUUCUGCUCUUGUGCAGCUGAAAGACAUCACUGAGCAAAACUGACCCCUUUGCAAUGGUAUUUUGAGCCUUGGAUGCAAAGAUGGAUGCACCAUUACAGCGUGGUUUGCAACCUGAUGUUUUUCAGAAUUUAAACAAAGAAGUUUGUCUGCGAGGCUUUUACUGAAGCUCAGCCAAAGGUACGACUCUUUUAACGAGGAAAUACAGCUUUUACAGACUUCGCUUUCUCUUCUUCAGUAUAAAUUUUGAUGUAUAAAUAACAUUCCUACGGAGACCUGGUCAUCUGCUGGUAUUGAUCACCUGCCUCCCUGUCCUCCAAGGUCUGAUUCAGUCAUAGCCUCAAAUAUCAGCAGCUUUACUGGAAAAUGGAGUGACCAGUGGAUUAAACAAAUGAGAGGGCUGGAAAUGGGUCUGCUUCAAGUCUUAGCAUGUACUUCGGGGAGCGAUAUCUGGAGAUGGUGGAGGUUAAACUUGGAAUUAAGGUCUGUAGGUCUGAUGAGAGGUACAAGAACAAGCGAAGAUUUCACUCUUUUCUCCUCCCUUUACAACACAGUUGUGUAUCCUCCGUUGUCAUCGUGGAAAAUGAGACCACCUUCACCGCACAUUUGUUUCAAGGCAUUCAAUUGUGACACUCAGAUAAUGAUGUUUGGUGCCCUUUCCUUCUUGCUUACCUAAAUCUGUUUGAAGAGCCCUUGAGAUAAGCAUAGGAACACUGCAACCACAGUCCUAGGGAGAAGUGUUCACCUGCUUGUUGAUUCACUGCCGGUUGUGUUCCCUGGCUGCAAUCAGAGCACAUUUUCCCUUUCAGAAGUUUAGAAUCAAGGAGAAGGUAAACGCAUGCCAAAUCUUGCAAUGAUGUUGGCCCGCUCCCAAAGUUGCAAAAUAAUGAAGAAAACGUUGGGUUUAGAACUCUGUGCCCGUUUUUUUUACUGCGUUCCUUAAGUUACUCAUGACAGAUGCAACUUUCCUGGCUCCAGAGGUAGUGAAAAUAAACCAUUACAUAUUGCAAAAACUUAUGAAAACAAAACAACUGGAAUUCCCAUGCUAUGUCUCUGUUCUAUCUGCAACAGGCUGAAACCAAGCUUCUGAGCUGUUAUCCUCAAGGAUAUUGCACAGUAAGAUGGGAUGUGACCUUCGGCUGGUCUGGGCAGAUUCUCCUGUGAGUCGGUGGAUUUGGUUUCUCCAGAGCUCAGCCACCUGCACCAGUCAGUGAUGGGGACUUCUCAAAGAAAUGGUUCCAAAUUGUCCUGGUGCUGAGUUAGCAUACUCCAAGAGGAACCCACCAGCUAAAGAGGGCUUCAUACUACUGGUCCAGGAGCAGUUUCAGUGUCAAAAUUGCCCCAGGAACAAGGGAGAAAACACUUCAAAUCAACUAUGGCUUUCCCGACAGCCUUUUCCUGGAAAGGAUAUUUUCUGCUACAAAAGAGAUUUCUACAGAAAAAUUCUGCUAUGGUCAACUAACUAGAGCAUCUGGUGUUUGCAGCUGCUCUAAGGUGGUUUUGCUGGGUGGGGAUUUAUGUCAGACAAACUUGCAGAACUGAGCCCUCAGUUUGCAAACGUAAGUGAUGACUUUGGGUCAGCGAUGACUGAGGAUUUCACCUGGAGGGCGGCGACCUUCAGUUCAUUGAAAGAAAUUCCAAAGGUGAGCUUCGUGACACUCUGAAGAGAUGCUGGAGGGAAAUAUUGGAGCUUUCCACCAAGGUUGUGAGCCAAGCCAGGUUCCAUCUGUGGGCUCUGCCUCUACUUGGUCACAUCUAUGAGCCACUACUAAGGAUGCAUGAUGGAGUCAUGUCAAGGUGUUUACUGGCACAGGCUGCCCAGGGAGGUGGUGGAA